UAUUUCCAAAUAUAAACCUCUAUUUCCUUACCCUUCCUUUAAUUACCCUUCCUUUAAUUAUCCUUCUAUAGGACAAAUAUUUUACCCACUAAAAAAAGGCAUGAAACUGUAUAAUGACAUUAAUAACUUAUUCAAAGGGAAGUGAAAAAGUAGAUAUAAAUCCUAGACUGCUACAUCAAUAGGUCAAAACAAUAGAUGAGAAACAAUUUUUUCCAUGACCCAAAUAGGGAGAGGAAAAGUCAUUCAAUAGGCUGUCCACCACCAAUAAAUCGAUGGUCCCACAUAAAGAAUACUUUGAAGAGCCUUUGAUUGAAUAGGCAUGUUCCACUUCAGCUUUUUGUGUAUUUUUAAUAAUAAUAAAAAAAAAUCAAUCCUAUAUUUGCAAGCAGCAACAAAGACAAAUACAACUUCAGCAGCCAGUGUAUUUGAUGAUGAAACCUCUACUAUUGCAUUAGAACAACACUCCCGUAUUUAAUUAGGCAAAACAAAGUAUCCCACAAAGCAAAAGAUUCAUUUGUAGUUUCAAACUUCUGAAAACUCGUUAACCUUUUGAUCUCAUUGGGUGAAAUGCUCGAAAUUUCAUGAAUCCAUUGAAAUGUCUCCUCCAUUUGGGUUCUGUGGGCUGGCAGUGAAGGGGCUCUCAGAUAAACUAUGUUGAGGAUGGCCAGCUCCAAACUGGUACUCAGGAGGAACAUGCAGAGGACGGGUCAAAAAGGAGGUAGUGCUGAUGCUGUUGAAAGCAGCACCAGGAACUGGAUCAUUAACCUUUGGAAACCCAAAGCUAAGGGAUGGCACGCCUGCAUGUGGGAAAACUGGCAAGGCAGGGUUGUUGCCAUCAGAUGACCCAAAAGUUUUUUGCUCGUAUUCCUGCAACUGCUGGUACACAGCUUGGGUCAAGUCAACCGAUGGUCUCCGCUCUUUCACCCACUGGAAACUUUGUGCAAGCGUCCAUCCUUUGGACUUCAUUAAGUAAGCUAUCACAAUAGCCGGAGACCUAUUUUUUCCAGACAUGCAGUGCACAAGAACACGAACCUUAUCCUUUUCACAUUGCUCUAAAAAUUGAUUUGCAUCAUCAAAUUGUAAAGUUUUGUCAUCUUGGAGGCAAUGAUAAGUGAAAGAAUUCUUGUAGAGAUUUUGACAAGCCGGUACUGUCUACAUAAAGACAAAACAACAGAUAUAAGGUAAUGCCAAACCUCUUGUUAUUCCUGGCUAACUGAAUAACUGUUUCACAUCAACAAUAGACAAUCAUCAAACUGAUAAUAAAAAUAUAAUUUUCAUAAAAGAAUAUCAGAGAGAUAGACUGAAUGAAUGAAAUAUAACAUAUUUAAAAUUGCAGAAGCAAAGGGAAAAAAAAAUCAUUUGUUCUCUCCCACUUUUCCUUCAUUAAUAUAUACUUACUUAGAUCUAGAGCAAAGAAAUCAAUAAUUGUUCUUAUCAGUAAAACUAAAGCAAAGAAAUGGAUAUUUCAAGUGUUUAACCUCUAAAUUUUACACCAUAAUCAUAGUUUUAAAUCGCAGUCGCCUACAACAGCCGUGAUAUAAAGGCAACAGCCUGACACAACAAGUUCAUAAAAUGAGUAAAUAUUGGUAGAUACAACUAAAACUAAUAUUUACAACUAUAUAAUAAACAUAAAUAUAUCAAAUUAGAUGUUA
rnacentral:misc_RNA from 1 species